GGCGCGGGCGGGGGCGGAACCCUGCACAGGCUUCUCGCCUGCAAGGAUGCGACCGCCCUCGCGAACUGCAACAGCGUGUCUACCGGGCUGCGCUCGGCGGCGACGUCUCCGUCGGGCGGCGCCGCGGCGCUGCCGCCGCUGCUGUCCGGACCCGAAGUCGUCACGGCGUCGCACCGCAUCCAGGAGAGCUGUAUAUAGCCACGUCACACACGAUCACACACACUGCCCGCUCAUCCGAAUCAAUACUCUUUAUAUUGUAAAUACCAAGACUAAUAAAAGCAUUAAUAUGUA